rnacentral:lncRNA from 1 species
UGUCACCUCCAGUUUCCAUUUUAAAUUGUAAAAUUUCCAAAUUUGGAGACAAGCAGAUAUUUUUCUCAUCUUGAAAAGGAGGAGCGAGCGUUAGCUAGCUGAUUAGCCGUAGGUGGGAAACGAACCAUCUCUAAUAAAAACAGUAACUUUUAGAGAAACUCUGGGGAAGUUCUGUAGUCCCACCCUGCCCCGUGACCUUUCAUUCUCUUAGUUCUUCUGCCACAGAGAAGCACCGAUCGACUAAUAAAAGAUUUGAUCUUGCUAUAAUUUCCCAAGCAGAUAAGAAAACAAGGCCUUACAGUUGCCCACUUUCAUGAAGUGGUGUCACCCUCCAGAAUCUUAACGAAGAGGUGGGUCACUGUUCAGAUAUGUUUAAAAAUUCUGGGAUUCUUUUUCUUGGACAAGAGGUAUGUUGAUGUAUGAACAUGUACGAAGGUAAGUAUGCGGAUAUAAAGGUAAGACUCACUUAACCCUUACUAUGUGCCAGGCACUACUCUAAGCCAUUUAUAUUAAUAACUCAUUUAGUCUUUAUAUUAACCUUAAGAGGAAAGUACCAUUAUUAUCGUUUUGGAAGAUAAAGACACUAAGUCACAGAGAAGGUCAGUAAUUUCCCAAGGCUACAUGUUUCUUAAGUGCCAAUGUCUUAAGUGUGGUUUCCAAUGAAACCACACAUGUAGUUUGAGAUUAAUCCCUUAAGCACUUUACUAUUUUUAAUGGACAUUGAAGACAAUAUGUAGAGUUUGACUUAUAACUGAUAUAUGGCUAACUCCACUCAAUUCUAGCAUAUUUCAGAUGCUCAUUCAUUCAUUCCGCACAUCUUUAUUGCUU